AACGAACGCUGGCGGCAUGCCUAACACAUGCAAGUCGAACGAGACCUUCGGGUCUAGUGGCGCACGGGUGCGUAACGCGUGGUAACCUGCCCUUAGGUUCGGAAUAACUCCCCGAAAGGGGUGCUAAUACCGGAUAAUGUCUUCGGACCAAAGAUUUAUCGCCUUUGGAUGGGCCCGCGUUGGAUUAGCUAGUUGGUAGGGUAAAAGCCUACCAAGGCGACGAUCCAUAGCUGGUCUGAGAGGAUGAUCAGCCACACUGGGACUGAGACACGGCCCAGACUCCUACGGGAGGCAGCAGUGGGGAAUAUUGGACAAUGGGCGAUAGCCUGAUCCAGCAAUGCCGCGUGAGUGAUGAAGGCCUUAGGGUUGUAAAGCUCUUUUACCCGGGAUGAUAAUGACAGUACCGGGAGAAUAAGCUCCGGCUAACUCCGUG
rnacentral:rRNA from 1 species